rnacentral:rRNA from 1 species
UACGGGGGGAGCAAGCGUUGUUCGGAUUUACUGGGCGUAAAGGGCGCGUAGGCGGUCGUGACAAGUCACUUGUGAAAUCUCCGGGCUUAACUCGGAACGGUCAAGUGAUACUGUCGGACUAGAGUACAGAAGGGGCAACUGGAAUUCUCGGUGUAGCGGUGAAAUGCGCAGAUAUCGGGAAGAACACCCGUGGCGAAGGCGGCUCUCUGGGACGGUACUGACGCUGAGACGCGAAAGCGUGGGGAGCGAACAGG